UGGGGAAUAUUGCGCAAUGGGGGGAACCCUGACGCAGCCAUGCCGCGUGAAUGAAGAAGGCCUUAGGGUUGUAAAGUUCUUUCGGUAUUGAGGAAGGUUGAUGUGUUAAUAGCACAUCAAAUUGGCGUUAAAUACAGAAGAAGCACCGGCUAACUCCGUGCCAGCAGCCGCGGUAAUACGGAGGGUGCGAGCGUUAAUCGGAAUAACUGGGCGUAAAGGGCACGCAGGCGGUUAUUUAAGUGAGGUGUGAAAGCCCUGGGCUUAACCUAGGAAUUGCAUUUCAGACUGGGUAACUAGAGUACUUUAGGGAGGGGUAGAAUUCCACGUGUAGCGGUGAAAUGCGUAGAGAUGUGGAGGAAUACCGAAGGCGAAGGCAGCCCCUUGGGAAUGUACUGACGCUCAUGUGCGAAAGCGUGGGGAGCAAACAGGAUUAGAUACCCUGGUAGUCCACGCUGUAAACGCUGUCGAUUUGGGGGUUGGGGUUUAACUCUGGCGCCCGUAGCUAACGUGAUAAAUCGACCGCCUGGGGAGUACGGCCGCAAGGUUA
rnacentral:rRNA from 1 species